rnacentral:rRNA from 1 species
AACGCGAAGAACCUUACCCAGGUUUGACAUGCAGUGGAAGAUAGCAGAGAUGUUAUCGCUCUUCGGAGCCGCUGCACAGGUGCUGCAUGGCUGUCGUCAGCUCGUGCCGUGAGGUGUUGGGUUAAGUCCCGCAACGAGCGCAACCCUUAUCGUUAGUUGCCAACAGGUGAAGCUGGGAACUCUAGCGAGACUGCCUGGGUUAACCAGGAGGAAGGUGAGGAUGACGUCAAGUCCGCAUGGCCCUUAUAUCUGGGGCUACACACGUGCUACAAUGGCCGGUACAGAAGGCAGCGAAGCCGCGAGGCGAAGCAAAUCCCAAAAGCCGGCCCCAGUUCAGAUUGUAGUCUGCAACUCGACUACAUGAAGACGGAAUUGCUAGUAAUGGCGAGUCAGCAACAUCGCCGUGAAUACGUUCCCGGGCCUUGUACACACCGAGACGAC